rnacentral:rRNA from 1 species
CAGCCCUAAACGAUGCGCGUUAGGUGUAUCGGUGACCACGAGUCACCGAGGUGCCGAAGGGAAACCGUGAAACGUGCCGCCUGGGAAGUACGGUCGCAAGGCUGAAACUUAAAGGAAUUGGCGGGGGGAGGCACCACAACGGGUGGAGCCUGCGGGUUUAAUUUGGACUCAACGCCGGGAAGCUCACCGGAUAAGACAGCGGAAUGAUUGCCGGGCUGAAGACCCUGCAUGACCAGCUGAGAGGUGGUGCAUGGCGUAGUCGUGU